AAGUUGGUGGCUGAUAAGUUCUUGUAGUGACCCCUGACCCCGUGGUUCUUAUUGGUUAAUAGUAGCUUAGAGCAUCUGCACCAAUCAUAAAGCACCAAGUUUGGAGCUCGUGGGUCUCUGCAAGUAAGUCCCUGUAAUGUUGGCCAAGCCUGAUAUACUAGAAACAUCUGUCAUUACCAGCAGAUGAAGCUGCCCUUAAAGCAGGAUCUCACUUUGACCCUGAAAAAGAAUUUGCUAUUAGCAUACUAUGGUUAUAUGUCUCUCUCUCCUGUCUCUCACCUGUCUGCCUGGGCGGAGCUCAGCUGGGCUCCGCCCUUGGCCCACGCACCUGCCGUGAAUCUACCUGAUGACCUGGACUCCUGGGCUGUUUAAGCUGAGGCUCAGAAGGUUUCUUCGCUGGGUGGUGGACUUACUCUGGUUCUCGGACUCGUCCGUGACCCCGAUCUGUUUCCCUGGUGGCGUGGAGUGGAGUGAGAGUGAGUGUGCUGGAAACAAAUACGAGAGGAGCGAGUGUUGGACUUUGUCCCUUUUCCCCUGGACCAUUGCACAUCCUGCCCUGUACACGUGGGGUUUGUAAAUAAAUGUACGACUGCUGUUCUAGUUCAGCUGCUCUGCGCCUGCUGACAGCUGCAGUUAUUAUAUGACAUUUUAUUAUUGUAUUAUCCAUCCAUUCACCUCUACUGUUCUUGCAUUACAUCACAUAGUCAGCAUAAAUCUGUUUUUAAUGAAUGAUGAAAGUGGGAUGAAUUUAAUGACCCUUGUUGAGAGAGGUGGGACAGAGAGAGACAGAAGUCCCCCCCUCACCUCUUAUUGGCUCUGAGAGAAAUAAAAAGGUUUUAACAUUUAGGCUGUUGUGUUUACAAUGAUAUGAAGUGCUGUUAGUAAAUCAUCUUCAUUCUGAAUCAGAAGUUUAA